ensembl:processed_transcript predicted gene 20488
AAGACGACAAGCUUUUUGUAUCUCCCAGAGGAAUCCGAGGUGACUGCCGAGAGCCUUGCCCUGGGUCCCUCCCUAGGCCAAGCCUGACUGAACUGUUCAGCUUGUUUACUUAGGGCAAGGCUGGACCUGCCUGACUCCGUGUCCCACUAGGGUCUGAAGGUUCACCAGAGGGGGUCUGUUUCUGAGCUCUGGCAUGGGCUGGUGACAGGAUGAGUGUCAUCAGAAGCUGGUGGCUUAGGGGUCUCAGAUGCUCAUGUCUGAAGACUGCCCCUCCAUACUGAGCCACAGGGUGUGACAGCACCAUUCCUGGCUUUCAUCAAAGCACAGGGACAGAGUGAGAGAGAGAGAGAGAGAGCUGGCCGGAUGGAUCUCUCGCUCUCACCUUAACGGCUCAUACCAGAGAAAGCUGGGUGACACCUGAAUGUGGGGAUCUCAGGGGUCACCGCAAGAGCCACCUAACACAGUCUGUAAGCCUGGUGUCCCCGGGGGGGGGGGGGGACUGAGCAGACUGGUUUCUCUAAGUCAGGACCUCUAUAAAGAAGACCCUGGGAAAGAGUCUACAGAGAAAUACACUGAGCUAUGGGACUUGCUCAGACUCACCUCCCGUUAGGAAACAGAAUCUAAUAAGAAACAGACAGUACACAAUGAAGUCAUCAAGGCCUGGUGUCUGGUGCAGGUAAGCCCCACCCCACAGGAGCUGGGGCUGUGGAGACAGAAGCGAAGAAAUUGAGACAUGGAAACGCAGGAUGACAUCCAGUGUCCAUUCUCAGAAAGACUGUUCUCUGAGAUGUUCCCCAAGGGUUCUGUAGCCCAGGAGUCCUUCUAGCAUGUGGGGACUCUCGGGACCUGUCAAACCAAGAGGGAGAGCCAACUCCUAGAGACCUGGAGGCUUCUAGUACUUCAGGACAGACAAUGGGUCUGAAAUUCUUACUUGGGGCCAUAUGGAUUGGCCGUGCAGGGAGGAAAUUAUAUCUGGCUCUCUGUUUCUGCUCAACUCUUCCCACUGGUGUAAUCACGAAGUCGUAAGUGGGUUGGAAGAAGGAAGAAGUUUAUUACAACUUGGUGGAUGGAGAAAGGCCUUGCAGCUGACAUUUCCGGGGCAACGGCUGUAAUGAAAAAUACUCCCGGAGCCUUGCAAGGAUGAUAGUGAGCUAGAAAUUGCAUCUGUUUGACCCAGGGAAGGAGAGCCUCAGGAUAACGAAAGACAGACUCUGUUCCAAAGAUAAAAAAAAAGCAAGCCUUUGGAAAGCCACGACACAGGGGGAAGGAUGCUCGAAAAUAGCAGGCAUCUGCACCCCUCUGGACUGCUUUUGGAGACUCCCAGAUGUGCCAGCUUCCUGACCUAUACUGGCCUCGUUUCCCCAGAGCACUGAGUGUCCUGCUAGCGAUUAAGAAGAUGCAGUCAAAGUGCCAAGGAGCAGACCUCACCAGGAUCAGCCUACUGACCUGGAUAGGAAUGCGUGUAGACCCAGGAGGAGCAGCAUCUACUUGGGCGAACAGAAGCAGUGAGCUCACAGCCAGAGCCCAUGAGCUGCUCCGCCUACAGCCUGGUGCCUUCCAGCUGCGCGGUGAGCAACUCCUGGUGCCCGGACCCGGGGAACCCGGGGCCGCGAGAGGGGGCUUCAAUGUCUUCGGGGACGGCCUAGUGCGCCUCGACGGGCAGCUCUACCGCCUCAGCAGCUACAUCAAGAGAUACGUGGAACUGACCAACUACUGUGAUUAUAAAGACUACAGGGAGACGAUACUGAGCAAACCCAUGGUAUUCUUCAUUAACGUGCAGACCAAGAAGGGCAUCUCAAAGGUUUGAUUUCCAGGAAGUAGUGAAGAAUUUCUUCCCGCCAGGAACGAUCGUGCUGAAUGGAGAGAAUCUAAGCUUCACCUACGAAUUCAAGGCGGAUGCCCUGUUCGAUUUCUUCUACUGGUUUGGGCUCAGCAAUUCCACCGUAAAAGUGCACGGAAAGGUUCUGAACUUGACAAGUACGAACCCAGAAAAGAAAGAAACAAUCAAGUUAUUUCUGGAAAAAAUGAGCGAACCUCUAAUACGAAGGAGUAGUUUCUCCGAUCGGAAAUUUAGUGUCACAUCUAGAGGUUCAAUAGAUGAUGUUUUCAACUGCAACCUGUCACCCAGGUCAUCGGUUACAGAACCACUUUUGACAGAAUUCUCAUUUCCAAGUGUUCUGGAAUCUGAAGAGACAUCCAACCAACUUAUCUGAUUGGUCUGAACAUUCUAGCUGUCGCCCUUUGGGGGUCUGCGGCACACAGUGUGUAGAACUGGUAAGAGGAGGCAGGGAGUGGACAUUUCUAUCCCUUUGCCAGCCUCUGGCCCUGCAAGGUUCCAUAGAGGACCCCCUUUCCCAUCCCUAGGCAUGGUGCCCUGGCAGGCCCAGUGGCUUCCACCAGGGUUAUGGUCAUGGGAUGGAAGAACUUUUGUCUCUACGGCAUAGGGUGUCAUUGACAUUGAACACUUCUCUGAGGAAUUCUCAGGGGCAACCAACCACCCGUGAACUUUGCUUAGCACCCUGGCACCCUGGAGAACUUCCUGGCAACCUCUGUGGGAGGCAUCUGACUGGCAUGCUAAUCCGUGAUGUAUCCUGGAUCACAGAAUGGUCCUUUGCUGCCAGCAGCCCCAGCAAGCCUCGGGGCUAAACUCUUCUCUUGUAAAUGUGUCAGGUAAAGCCAGUACUGAUAUUUCCCUGGAAAACAAAUCUGAUGUCCAACUUGCCACUGGGAUGAACAUUCAAGAUACUGGCUGCUGAAGGAUCCUUGCAGGCCACCAGGGUGAGGCCUCCCUGAAAUGUAAAGCCAGGUGGGGCGCCAAUCAACCAGUGACAGGGGAGGGUCCUUCUCCCUGCGGGUACACUGUACUAGUUGGUGUUUGAAAUAUGCUUUAGCAAUCUUAAUAUGAGAAGAAAACCCCAGGGAAACGAAGCCAUUAUCACGGCGCAUUGAAUAUCAGGGCACAUUCUGCCUCACAGCUCCAGUGGGAUUCACU